GAUGAACGCUAGCUACAGGCUUAACACAUGCAAGUCGAGGGGAAACGAUAUUGGAAGCUUGCUCCGAUAGGCGUCGACCGGCGCACGGGUGAGUAACGCGUAUCCAACCUGCCCGUCACUUGGGAAUAACCUUGCGAAAGUAAGACUAAUGCCCAAUGACAUUUAUAGAAGGCAUCUGAAAUGAAUUAAAGAUUUAUCGCUGGAGGAGGGGCUUGCGUCUGAUUAGCUAGUUGGAGGGGUAACGGCCCACCAAACCGACGAUGCGUAGGGGUUCUGAGAGGAAGGUCCCCCACACUGGUACUGAGACACGGACCAGACUCCUACGGGAGGCAGCAGUGAGGAAUAUUGGUCAAUGGGCGGAAGCCUGAACCAGCCAAGUAGCGUGCAGGACGACGGCCCUAUGGGUUGUAAACUGCUUUCAGUCGGGAAUAAUUCGUCGGUCGUGACCGACGUUGCAGGUACCGUCAUAAGAAGGACCGGCUAAUUCCGUG
rnacentral:rRNA from 1 species